GACGAACGCUGGCGGCGUGCUUAACACAUGCAAGUCGAGCGGUAAGGCCCUUUCGGGGGUACACGAGCGGCGAACGGGUGAGUAACACGUGGGUGACCUGCCCUCAGCUCUGGGAUAAGCCUGGGAAACCGGGUCUAAUACCGGAUAUGACUCCAUGACGCAUGUUGUGGGGUGGAAAGCCUUGUGCGGCUGAGGAUGGGCCCGCGGCCUAUCAGCUUGUUGGUGGGGUGAUGGCCUACCAAGGCGACGACGGGUAGCCGGCCUGAGAGGGCGACCGCCACACUGGGACUGAGACACGGCCCAGACUCCUACGGGAGGCAGCAGUGGGGAAUCUUGCGCAAUGGGCGAAAGCCUGACGCAGCGACGCCGCGUGAGGGAUGAC
rnacentral:rRNA from 1 species